UGUACCCCCUGAUACUGGCAAUUUCGAUCCAAGGAAAUGUAGAACUCCGGUUAACCCAGUGAAACCAUGGAUGGCGUACUUCAACUUAAUCAGGCUUGGCUUUGGUCCUGGUUUUCUCGGCAUUCCGUUAGCAGUCAGUCAAGCUGGGAUAGUUAUGGGCCCUAUAAUAUGUAUUGCUGUCGGUUUUACUUUAAUGCAUACGCAAAUCAUGUUGCUCAACUGUUUAAACGAAGUAAGUCGUCAAUUAGGAGUACCCAGAGUUUCCUACAGACAUGGAUUUCGCUUAUGUCUACUGCACGGGCCACCUAUUUUCCAUGGCUUAGGAC